rnacentral:rRNA from 1 species
AGAGUUUGAUCCUGGCUCAGGACGAACGCUGGCGGCGUGCCUAACACAUGCAAGUCGAACGGAGAGUUUAUCGAGGAGACUUCGGUCAACGAGAUAAAUUUCUUAGUGGCGGGCGGGUGAGUAACGCGUGAGCAAUCUGCCUUUCAGAGGGGGAUAACAUUCUGAAAAGAAUGCUAAUACCGCAUAACGUAUUCGGGUGGCAUCAUCUGAAUACCAAAGGAGCAAUCCGCUGAAAGAUGAGCUCGCGUCUGAUUAGAUAGUUGGUGGGGUAACGGCCUACCAAGUCGACGAUCAGUAGCCGGACUGAGAGGUUGAACGGCCACAUUGGGACUGAGACACGGCCCAGACCCCUACGGGAGGCAGCAGUGGGGAAUAUUGCACAAUGGGCGCAAGCCUGAUGCAGCAACGCCGCGUGAGGGAAGACGGUCUUCGGAUUGUAAACCUCUGUCCUUGGUGACGAAACAAUGACGGUAGCCUUGGAGGAAGCCACGGCUAACUACGUGCCAGCAGCCGCGGUAAUACGGAGGAUGCGAGCGUUAUCCGGAUUUAUUGGGUUUAAAGGGUGCGCAGGCGGCGCGUUAAGUCAGCGGUGAAAUGUCGGGGCUCAACCCCGGCACUGCCGUUGAAACUGGCGUGCUUGAGUACGGAUGAAGCGGGCGGAAUGUGAUGUGUAGCGGUGAAAUGCUUAGAUAUGUCACAGAACACCGAUUGCGAAGGCAGCUCGCUAAUCCGCAACUGACGCUCAUGCACGAAAGCGUGGGGAUCGAACAGGAUUAGAUACCCUGGUAGUCCACGCAGUAAACGAUGAAGGCUAGCUAUUGGCGAUAUACAGUCAGUGGCCAAGGGAAACCGAUAAGCCUUCCACCUGGGGAGUACGCCGGCAACGGUGAAACUCAAAGGAAUUGACGGGGGCCCGCACAAGCGGAGGAACAUGUGGUUUAAUUCGAUGAUACGCGAGGAACCUUACCCGGGCUUGAAAGUUAGUGAAUGAGAUGGAAACAUUUCAGUCCUUCGGGACACGAAACUAGGUGCUGCAUGGUUGUCGUCAGCUCGUGCCGUGAGGUGUCGGCUUAAGUGCCUUAACGAGCGCAACCCUUGUUGUUAGUUGCCAUCAGGUAAUGCUGGGAACUCUAACAAGACUGCUACUGUAAGGUAGAGGAAGGUGGGGAUGACGUCAAAUCAGCACGGCCCUUACGUCCGGGGCGACACACGUGUUACAAUGGUCGGUACAGAGGGUUGCUACCUGGCGACAGGAUGCUAAUCUCAUAAAACCGAUCUCAGUUCGGAUCGGAGUCUGCAACUCGACUCCGUGAAGCUGGAUUCGCUAGUAAUCGCGCAUCAGCCAUGGCGCGGUGAAUACGUUCCCGGGCCUUGCACACACCGCCCGUCA